UACAGAGGAUGCAAGCGUUAUCCGGAAUGAUUGGGCGUAAAGCGUCUGUAGGUGGCUUUUUAAGACCGCCGUCAAAUCCCAGGGCUCAACCCUGGAACUGCCUUUCAUACUGGCAAUCUAGAGUCCAGAAGAGGUGAGUGGAAUUCCGAGUGUAGAGGUGAAAUUCGUAGAUAUUCGGAGGAACACCAGUGGCGAGGGCGGCUCACUGGUCUGGAACUGACGCUGAGGUGCGAAAGUGUGGGGAUCAAACAGG
rnacentral:rRNA from 1 species